UUUAUUUAAAGUCUGGUCUGCUCACUGAUUUUUUAAGAGCCGCAGUAUUUUGACUGUGCGAAGGUAGCAUAAUAAUUAGUUUCUUGAUUGGGAACUGGAAUGAAUGGCUGGACGAGAAAAUAACUGUCUCUUUUUGAUUAGGAUGAAUUUUAUUUUUGAGUUAAAAAGCUCAAAUUUUUUUAAAAGACGAGAAGACCCUAUAGAGUUUUAUUUUUGCAGUUUAUGUUAAUUUUUGGUAUUUAUUGUUUUGUGAUUUGUAGGAAUUUGGUUGGGGUGAUUGAGAAAUUGGUUUAACUUUUUUUUUAUUUUAACAAGUUUAAUUGAAUUUUUGAUCCAUUUUUUGUGAUUAUAAGAUUAAAUUACCUUAGGGAUAACAGCGUAAUCUUUCUUGAGAGUUCUUAUCGAAAGAAGGGGUUGCG
rnacentral:rRNA from 1 species